rnacentral:rRNA from 1 species
AUGCACCUCUUUGGGAUUCUAUUGAAUCGAGAAAUUGGAUUGUACAUCUUUUUGAUUUUGAUAUCGAUUUUGAUACGUAUAAGGUGUCCUACGGAUAAUGCAAAUCGAAGCUAUUUGAUGUCUGACUCAGGCCUAUAUGACCGAUCGAUCGAAAUACUCCAAGACUCCACCUUUGUCAUAUAUUCCAUAUAUCACAUUAGAUAUAUAUCAUAUUCAUGGAAUACGAUUCACUUUCAAGAUGCCUUGAUGGUGAAAUGGUAG